AUUUUUCUACAUAGGCAAUCAUGUUACCUGUGAACAAAAAAAAUUUUCCUCAAUAUGCAAAUUUAUUUUCUUUUAUUGUUUUUUUUUGCACUAAGUAGGAGUAGGUAGACUAAGUAAAGAAGACCCACCCUCAUUCAAUCCACCAAUGGGCUGAAUAGGACAAAAAGUGGACAGGUGUGAAUGAUACCUCUUAGGUAUAUCAAGCUUCCAGGCUGGCUGCAUGGAUGGGAAACCCACAGAGUGGCUCAGAGUCUUAUUCUUUCUGAUGAUCCUUCUAGGACUCCAUGCUUCGGAGACACAGAUCUGAAACCACAGAGGACAAUGACAUAUGAUUGAAAAUUGGACACAUCUGAUUACUUAGUCAUUUCAGAU